CCUACGGGAGGCAGCAGUGGGGAAUAUUGCGCAAUGGGCGAAAGCCUGACGCAGCGACGCCGCGUGAGGGAUGAAGGUCUUCGGAUCGUAAACCUCUGUCAGCAGGGAAGAACGGUCACUGUGCUAAUCAGCAGUGAAUUGACGGUACCUGCAAAGGAAGCACCGGCUAACUCCGUGCCAGCAGCCGCGGUAAUACGGAGGGUGCGAGCGUUAAUCGGAAUUACUGGGCGUAAAGCGCUCGUAGGCGGUAUGUCAAGUCAAGGGUGAAAUCCCCGCGCUCAACGUGGGAACUGCCUUUGAAACGGGCAAACUGGAGUGUGUGAGAGGAUAGUGGAAUUCCAGGUGUAGGAGUGAAAUGCGUAGAUAUCUGGAGGAACAUCAGUGGCGAAGGCGACUAUCUGGCACAUAACUGACGCUGAGGAGCGAAAGCGUGGGUAGCAAACAGGAUUAGAUACCCGGGUAGUC
rnacentral:rRNA from 1 species